UACAGAGGUCUCAACCGUUGUUCGGAUUCAUUGGGCGUAAAGGGUGCGUAGGCGGCCGGGUAAGUCUGAUGUGAAAUCCCGCAGCUCAACUGCGGAACUGCAUCGGAUACUCUCCGGCUAGAGGAAUGGAGGGGAGACUGGAAUUCUCGGUGUAGCAGUGAAAUGCGUAGAUAUCGAGAGGAACACCAGUGGCGAAGGCAGGUCUCUGGGCCACUACUGACGCUGAGAAGCGAAAGCAUGGGGAGCGAACAGG
rnacentral:rRNA from 1 species